CUAUUCUGCAGCAACUGACUGGUACAGAUGUUUGAGUUUUGAAUUGCCGUACCUCCCCACCAAAGCACUUGCAACAGAAAACAAACAUUUUACGCGUGGCGUCUGACGAAUGGGUUUUGCAGAGAUGAGGCUGAUCAGUGGAGGGCUUCCAACUGUCCCAGACGCGUCAGAUCUGCUCGUGGAUGCUUGUGUGAUCGGCUGUCCUCCCUCCUUCGUCCAUCCUCUCUUGCUCCUCUCCUGAGAGGAGGGCAGUAUUGCUCAGUGUAUCCAUGGCUGCUCCGUAGCCACCGUGUGCUUCGUUAACCUCGGAGAUGACAGAGGACCAACCGAGUACUUCAAAGACGGGACGGAAAAGUAACACAGCAACUUAUAACAUCAAUAAAAACCCUUGCGGUUUCUGUGUCAAUGGCACAUCUA